rnacentral:rRNA from 1 species
AAGGGCACCACAAGAACGCGUGGAGCAUGUGGCUUAAUUUGACUCAACGCGGGAAAUCUUACCGGGUCCGGACACACUAAGGAUUGACAGGUAAAAGAAGUUCACUCUCUUUAUUUUAUAUAAAGAGUUUGGCUCUGUAAAUAUGCUAGUCCUUUCAUGAUUGUGUGAUAGGUGGUGCAUGGCCGUUCUUAGUUCGUGGAAUAAUCUGUCUGCUUAAUUGCGUUAAUAUAUGGUGUCAGUCUCUGAUAACCCUCAUUCAUUGGUGUCUUUCACACUUACGUGUGCGCCUUUGAUUGGGGCUGGAGGUUUAGACACUCUAUGAAACGAACGUGACCCCGACCUCUUGUUACUUGAUAUUUAUGUCAUUUGCGGAGCAGUUUUUUCUUUUUAGUAUUUAUAUUGAAAUGUUUAAAACUGUUUACUCCCAUUAACGACUCAAGAUACGAGGGGGAUUGCCAAGCUCAAGCUGGAUGAAAGUCGGGGCAAUAACAGGUCUGUGAUGCCCUUAGAUGUUCCGGGCUGCACACGUGCUACAAUGAUCUAUGCAGUAAGUAUCUACAAAAGACUCCAUAAUCUUUUUUAUAAGACUGGAGCAAGCCUGCUUCGAGAGUAAGUAGGUAAUCAAUUCGAAGUAUAGAUUUCCUUUUUAUAGCCGAUUGUAUAUGUCUUGUCUUUUAUGACAGACUAUACUCAGCUCUUUUUCUUAGAAUUCAUAGUGGGGACAGACCUUUGUUAAUUGUUGGUCUCGUUUCAACUAGGAAUGCCUUGUAUGAGCCUUUGGUUCAACAAACCGCUCAGAAUGCGUCCCUGCCCUUUGUAC